CUCUUAUCCAGAGAGGUGGAGGGACUGGCCCUAUGAAACCCGGCAACCGGCUUAUUAAGCAGCGGUGCCAAUUCCUGCGGUACAUAAGUACUGACAGAUGAGAG
rfam:Geosporobacter subterraneus DSM 17957 genome assembly, contig: EJ58DRAFT_scaffold00033.33